rnacentral:rRNA from 1 species
GGUGGCUUCGGCUACCACUUACAGAUGGACCCGCGGCGCAUUAGCUAGUUGGUGAGGUAACGGCUCACCAAGGCAACGAUGCGUAGCCGACCUGAGAGGGUGAUCGGCCACACUGGGACUGAGACACGGCCCAGACUCCUACGGGAGGCAGCAGUAGGGAAUCUUCCGCAAUGGACGAAAGUCUGACGGAGCAACGCCGCGUGAGUGAUGAAGGUUUUCGGAUCGUAAAGCUCUGUUGUUAGGGAAGAACAAGUACCGUUCGAAUAGGGCGGUACCUUGACGGUACCUAACCAGAAAGCCACGGCUAACUACGUGCCAGCAGCCGCGGUAAUACGUAGGUGGCAAGCGUUGUCCGGAAUUAUUGGGCGUAA